rnacentral:rRNA from 1 species
AUUGAACGCUGGCGGCAUGCUUUACACAUGCAAGUCGAACGGUAACAGGGUGCUUGCACCGCUGACGAGUGGCGAACGGGUGAGUAAUGCAUCGGAAUGUACCGUGUAAUGGGGGAUAGCUCGGCGAAAGCCGGAUUAAUACCGCAUACGCCCUGAGGGGGAAAGUGGGGGACCGAAAGGCCUCACGUUAUACGAGCAGCCGAUGUCUGAUUAGCUAGUUGGUGGGGUAAAGGCUCACCAAGGCGUCGAUCAGUAGCGGGUCUGAGAGGAUGAUCCGCCACACUGGGACUGAGACACGGCCCAGACUCCUACGGGAGGCAGCAGUGGGGAAUUUUGGACAAUGGGCGCAAGCCUGAUCCAGCCAUGCCGCGUGUCUGAAGAAGGCCUUCGGGUUGUAAAGGACUUUUGUCCGGGAGCAAAUCCUAGUGGUUAAUAACCGCUGGGUCUGAGAGUACCGGAAGAAUAAGCACCGGCUAACUACGUG